CAACCAUGGCAGUUACGGGUAACGGGGAGUUAGGGUUCGGUUCCGGAGAGGGAGCCUGAGAAACGGCUACCACAUCUAAGGAAGGCAGCAGGCGCGUAAAUUACCCAAUCCUGAUUCAGGGAGGUAGUGACAAGAAAUAACAACCUGGGGGACUUCUGUCCUUACGGGAUUGCAAUGAGAACAAUUUAAACGACUUAUCGAGGAACAAUUGGAGGGCAAGUCUGGUGCCAGCAGCUGCGGUAAUUCCAGCUCCAAUAGCGUAUAUUAAAGUUGUUGCAGUUAAAAAGCUCGUAGUUGAACUUCUGCAUGUGUCCGGUUCUGGCUCCGGUCAAGCCGUCUUUUUUUGACGCAUGCAUCCGCUUGCAAACCUGGACCGGCAUUCACUUGUCGACCAGUGGGAGCAGGCCUUUUACUUUGAAAAAAUUAGAGUGUUUCAAGCAGGCAAUGGCUCGAAUACAUUAGCAUGGAAUAAUGGAAUAGGACUUUUGUCCAUUUGGUUGGUUAUUGGACAUAAGUAAUGAUUAACAGGGACAGUUGGGGGCAUUAGUAUUUAAUUGUCAGAGGUGAAAUUCUUGGAUUUAUUAAAGACUAACUUAUGCGAAAGCAUUUGCCAAGGAUGUUUUCA
rnacentral:rRNA from 1 species